AUGGCUUCAGACGGUGCAUCAACAAAAAGAAAAUAUCUGUAUGUUGUAGCAGAAUGUGAAAGGGUGCAACAAAAGUUGGAUGAGAUAACUAAAGAGGAUGAACUUGCAGAAGCACAACAAGCAAAUGUUGACAAGGACACAACAGAGACUGAUGCAGCACCGCAUCCUGAUGGCUAUGGAGACAAACUUCAAGAUCCUGAUGUUGCAGUAUCAAAAGGGAGUCCACAAAAAGGUCGUUACAAAACUUUCGUGGAAAGUUUAGCAUCUAAACAGAAAGUCACAUGCAGUCGGUGUGGGAAGCCUGAUCAUUAUAAAAGUUCUUGUACUGCAAGUACUGAAGAUGUCAAUUUGGCUCAGAAAGAAAAACUCAGCCGCAAACAAGCCUCGGGUUUUUGCAUCAAAAAACUUUUCUCUUUUUGGUGUUACCUGGUUUUACUGCAUUACAAAAAAAAUUAUGGCCUAUAA
rnacentral:rRNA from 1 species